rnacentral:rRNA from 1 species
CAGUCGCCACGGGAAUACGUAGGUGGCAAGCGUUGUCCGGAAUUAUUGGGCGUAAAGGGCUCGCAGGCGGUUUCUUAAGUCUGAUGUGAAAGCCCCCGGCUCAACCGGGGAGGGUCAUUGGAAACUGGGAAACUUGAGUGCAGAAGAGGAGAGUGGAAUUCCACGUGUAGCGGUGAAAUGCGUUGAGAUCGGAAGGAACACCAACGGCGAAAGCACUCUGCUGGGCCGACACUGACACUGAGAGACGAAAGCUAGGGGAGCAAAUGGGAUUAGAGACCCCCGUAGUCCCUGUCUCUUAUAA